rnacentral:piRNA from 2 species
UUCACAGCAGUUGGGAUGGUGAGGA